CAAUAGCGUAUAUUAAAGUUGUUGCAGUUAAAAGCUCGUAGUUGGAUUUCUGGCAGGAGCGACCGGUCAUGCACUAUGUGCGUGAACUUGUGUUGUCUCUGGCCAUCCUUGGGGAGAUCCUGUUUGGCAUUAAGUUGUCGGGCAGGGGAUACCCAUCGUUUACUGUGAAAAAUUAGAGUGUUUAAAGCAGGCUUAUGCCGUUGAAUAUAUUAGCAUGGAAUAAUAAGAUAGGACCUCGGUUCUAUUUUGUUGGUUUCUAGAGCUGAGGUAAUGAUUAAUAGGGAUAGUUGGGGGCGAUUCGUAUUUAACUUGUCAGAGGUGAAAUUACUUGG
rnacentral:rRNA from 1 species